AUGGUUUGACCCCCUUAGGAAUGUGCUAUCAUCAUGAAACGUUCAGAUCACCUACAACUCAAUAGAUUCUACCUUCUUGUAGCGUUUCAGCCUGAUUGGACCUUGUUUUCACACAAAUGGACCCAGAAUGAUGUGAAAUUGUGCUUCGUGCAACAUAAUUCUGGGUGCCAUUUAAAGGCCCAAUGUGUGAUAUUUCAUCUUAUAAGUCAUCAAAUUUCUUGUAUCACAUUCUCAAAUUUGUUUUUUUUAUGAUAAUUCAAACAAGCAUUUAUUCUAAACAUUAUUAUUAGCUUUAUAUUUUAACAUUUUAGACAAAAGAAGCAGACCGGUGCUCCAUAUGGCAUGCGCCAUCUUAAAAUACAGUGACCUUUUAGGGACAUACAACAUAUUAAGCUUCGCAUUUGAUGUUUGCGUUUUUAAAUGAUGUAACCUCAAAGAAACAGCAGGGGGCAGAAGUGCGCCUUGUAAGCAUGCAGUCUGACAAAGUAACUAAGAAGAAGAAGAAACUAGCCACACCGUAAUUCUAGCGAUGGAGGAUCACACAUAUUCUUCAAGCAAACUUGAGAAACGGGAUAGUUUGUCUCAUCCAAGUAAAAAAAAAGGAUUUUGAAAAGUGAACAAGACCGGCGUCAUGAGAAAACCAGAGUAAAUAUAGGAGUUGCCUUCCCAAGAUGGAGAGACCUCAUGUUACAAAAGGGAUUCAGUAGACACGCUGAGCUUGCUACCUUCCUUUUGGAUAGGUAAGUUAAAAAUGUGUGUUUAAUUUCUUCAUUGUAGUAGUUGUGUGCUUUGUGACACAAAGUUUGUGUGGAGUAAGCUAGAGUUUGGGAAAGAGCUCAUGCUAACUAGUGCCAAAAAUGUAGCACACCAUCUUAAAACGUUACUACACGUUAUUUAAGUUUGUCCCAUUGUCGUGACAGAAAUUCAUUAUGCAAUUGUCCUAUUUUUUAGAUUCAAACGGAAGUACAAUAAGAAUGCCAGAAGGUACAGUGUGUAUUCACUAAAAUCAGAAAAGGGCUACGAAUACAUUCCAGUACUCCGAUCAAAAAUAAUCAACGAGAGGUUUGGCGAGAGGAGUCGGGAUGCCUCGUACCAGAUCAAUGAGGGAUGAUGACCCCAGACGGCUCGGUCUUGUGCCACCCAUCGCUCCACCACCUAUUUCGGAGCUAGUGCAGAUCCAAGUCAGCCGAGGUCUUGUAUCAGAACUCAACACAGCUACAGGCCUCCAGUGACGAUCUUGUCUACAUUUACAUGGAGUAUUCUAUACCUGCUGCGUGUUACUAAUGUAAUGUACAUAAAAAUGUAGAUAUUGCACUUUGAUGUCUUUCCUACUGUGCUAACAUGUUGUUCUUUUUACUUGAAGUAGCACAUAAAUUCUGCACAGUCUUUUACGUUAGAUCUAUUCUUUAUUAUUCUAAAGUGUGUAAAAUCAUGUUUCAAGAUUAAAAUGUGUUCCAAAUUUGUCUGUUCAAACUCUGAAUAAGGUUAAUUCAAAUAAAAGUGCAUCUGUACUAA